CAACAUAUACACCAGAGCCCAACACACCAGAGCCCGCAAUACACACACACACAGGGCCCAACACACAUACCAAAGCCCUCCAACACACACACAACAGAGUCACCAGUACACACGCACAGAGCCCCCCGACACAUACACCAGAGCCUCCAACACACACACCAGAGCCUCCCAACACACACACCGGAGCCCCACAACAUACACACACACACACCAGAGCCCCCCCACACACACGACAGCCUCCCAACACACACACCAGAGCCCCCAACACACACACACACCAGAGCCUCCCAACAACACACACACGAGUCCCCAACAUACACACACACCAGAGCCCCCAACACACACACCAGAGCGCCCAACACACACACACACACCAGGGCCCCCCAACACACAAACCAGAGCCUCCAAGACAUACACACCAGAGCCCCCCAAUACACACACCAGAGCCCCGAACACACAUACGAGAGCCUCCAACACAGACACCAGAGCCCCCAACACACACACACACCAGAGCCUCCAACACACACACACCAGAGUCCCCAACACACACACCAGAGCCCCCAACACACACACCACAGCCUCCAACACACACACCACAGCCUCCAACACAUAUACAUGAGAGCCCACAUCACACACACCAGAGCCCCCAACACAUACCAGAGCCCCCAAAACACACCAGAGCCCCCAACCCACACACCAGAGCCUCCAACACACACAGAGCCCCCACCACACACACACCAGAGCCCCCAACACACACCAGGGCCCCCAACACACACACACCAGAGCCCCCAACAUACACACCAGAGCCCCCAACACACACACACAUCAGAGCUCUCAGCACUCACACACACCAGAGCCGCCAACACACACACACACACACCAGAGCCUCCCAAGACACACACCAGAGCCGCCAACACACACACACACACAACCAGAGCCCCCAACACACACACACACACCAGAGCCUC
rnacentral:lncRNA from 1 species